GCGAUAGUAGCUCAGUUGGAUAGAGUGGCUGGCUACGAACCAGUAGGUCGGGGGUUCGAAUCCCUCCUGUCGUACCA
rnacentral:tRNA from 1 species